rnacentral:rRNA from 1 species
UAACGCGUGAAGUUGACCGCUGGGAGUACGGUCGCAAGAUUAAAACUCAAAGGAAUUGACGGGACCCGCACAAGCGGUGGAUUAUGUGGAUUAAUUCGAUGCAACGCGAAAAACCUUACCUACCCUUGACAUGUCAGAAAUUUUCAGAGAUGAAUUUGUGCCCGAAAGGGAAUCUGAACACAGGUGCUGCAUGGCUGUCGUCAGCUCGUGUCGUGAGAUGUUGGGUUAAGUCCCGCAACGAGCGCAACCCUUGUCAUUAAUUGCCAUCAUUUAGUUGGGCACUUUAAUGAGACUGCCGGUGAUAAACCGGAGGAAGGUGGGGAUGACGUCAAGUCCUCAUGGCCCUUAUGGGUAGGGCUUCACACGUAAUACAAUGGCGCGUACAGAGGGUUGCCAACCCGCGAGGGGGAGCUAAUCUCAGAAAGCGCGUCGUAGUCCGGAUCGGAGUCUGCAACUCGACUCCGUGAAGUUGGAAUCGCUAGUAAUCGCGGAUCAGCAUGUCGCGGUGAAUACGUUCCCGG